rnacentral:tmRNA from 1 species
GGGGGCGCGCCGGUUUCGACGGGGACGUUGAAGCCAUGGCUGCAGGCCGAGGCGCCGCUGGCCUCGUUAAAAGCGGCAACAAAAGUAAUUGCCAACAACGAUUACGCUUACGCAAUGGCUGCCUAAGUGCGGCCACCCCGAUACGGCGGACAUCCGAUAAACCGUAAAGGGGACGCUCAUCGGGUCGCGUCCAUUCUUGGUCUCAUGGGGAUGGGCGUGUACAUCAUGGGACAAAACGUCCGGUGCCCGUUCGGGGGCUAACCGGAACGUACCGUACCCGAAACAAGCCUGUAGAUGCCUUGUGCCGAACAUUCUCGGACGGGGGUUCGAUUCCCCCCGCCUCCACCA